AUCAUCAACCGAUGUAAAAGUGUGAGAGUAAGAUGAUGCUGAUGGUGACUGAUGCUUUUCUUUGUUUCUUUUCCUGCUUUCAUCCACUGAUGGCGUCGAGCAUCGCCGAGGAUGUGAUCGAAUGCGGAAUAUUCUAAACGAGGAGCUUCAUUCCGGAUUUUGUUUGCAAUAAGCGCUGAACUCAUCCUCCAGCUUACAACGAACGGUCAACGGAUGAGGAAGGAGAGGAGGGACGGCAAAGGUACACGCAAAAACGUGCACACCUCAGCCUUGUCGGAGAACGAGAACACGGGAGGGGGAGACCGGCAACGUAGGUUCUAUACGUUCUUCAUUUACGCUCCCUCGUGCGUUCGUGCUUGCGUGCGCGCGCGCGUCUAUGUGUGUGUAUGUGUGUGCAUGCCUGCGUGCGUGGCUGUGUGUGUUUUUGCCGCUUCGCUUAACGAGAUCCUACGGGAUCACCUUGUGAAAAACACCAAGAGAGGGGGAGGGGUAGGUGUAUGUGUAUGUGUGUGUAUGUGUGCUUGCAUGCGUACGUGGUUGUGAGUGUGUUUUUUGCUGUUUCGCGAUCUCCUACGGAAUCAAAAGGGGGUAGGGGGGAAACACGAGGGGGGGGAGGAAUGAGGUGUGUAUUUGUGUGCUAGCCUGCAUGCGUGCGUGGCUUUGUCUGUGUGUGUUUUUGCGUUCGCGUUCUCCUACGGGAUCACCUUGCGAAAAACACCAUGGGGAGGAGAAGGUGUGAGUGUGUUUUCUCUUCUUUGUCGUUUCGCACUCUCCCGUGGGUCUCCUUGUGUGCGUUAGUUUUUUUGUUUUUUAAGAAGAAAAAAAAUACUUCGAAAAAUACCAGUGGGGAGGGUGUGAGUAUGAAUGAAAGAAUGUGCUUAGAAAAAGAAUGUAGAAAAUAAAAAAAAUAUUGAACAACGGA